GGGCCCGCACAAGCAGUGGAGUAUGUGGUUUAAUUCGAAGCAACGCGAAGAACCUUACCAGGUCUUGACAUCCCGAUGACCGCUGUGGAGACACAGCUUCUCUUCGGAGCAUUGGAGACAGGUGGUGCAUGGUUGUCGUCAGCUCGUGUCGUGAGAUGUUGGGUUAAGUCCCGCAACGAGCGCAACCCUUGUUGUCAGUUGCCAUCAUUUAGUUGGGCACUCUGGCGAGACUGCCGGUGACAAAUCGGAGGAAGGUGGGGACGACGUCAAAUCAUCAUGCCCCUUAUGACCUGGGCUACACACGUACUACAAUGGCGAUUACAAUGGGAUGCAAUGUCGCGAGGCGGAGCCAAUCCAUAAAAAUCGCCCCAGUUCAGAUUGCAGGCUGCAACUCGCCUGCAUGAAGUCGGAAUUGCUAGUAAUGGCAGGUCAGCAUACUGCCGUGAAUACGUUCCCGGGCCUU
rnacentral:rRNA from 1 species